rnacentral:rRNA from 1 species
UACGGGGGGGGGCAAGCGUUGUUCGGAAUUACUGGGCGUAAAGGGCUCGUAGGCGGCCAACUAAGUCGGAUGUGAAAUCCCCCAGGCUUAACCUGGGAACUGCAUCCGAUACUGGAUGGCUUGAAUUCGGGAGAGGGAUGCAGAAUUCCAGGUGUAGCGGUGAAAUGCGUAGAUAUCUGGAGGAGUACCGGUGGCGAAGGCGGCAUCCUGGACCGACAUUUGACGCUGAGGAGCGAAAGCUAGGGGAGCAAACAGG